CCCCCGCCCCUUCACGUGGUGCAGGGCAAGGGCGGGGAUCCCGCGGUGCGUCACUUCCGUUCCUCUAGCGGUGCAGCGGAGCCCAGCGUGGAGCAGGACAAUGCCUAAGUCAAAGGAACUUGUGUCUUCAAGCUCAUCUGCCAGUGAUUCAGAUAGUGAAGUUGACAAAAAGGCAAAGCGGAAAAAGCAAGCAGCUCCAGAAAAGCCUGUAAAGAAACAAAAGACGGGUGAGAGUUCAAAAGGUGCCGCUUCUUCUAAGCAAAGCAGUAACAGAGAUGAGAAUAUGUUUCAGAUUGGCAAAAUGAGGUAUGUCAGUGUUCGUGACUUUAAAGGGAAAGUCUUAAUUGAUAUUAGAGAAUAUUGGAUGGAUCAAGAAGGUGAAAUGAAGCCAGGCAGAAAAGGUCCUGCUCCACCUACAGGGAGAAAGCAAUGAAAGAAGCCUGAUCACUGAGGGGGGAGAAAGGGGGUAAAUAGUAGAAGAGCCUGGCUGGAGAGAGUGAGAGGUAUUUCUUUAAAUCCAGAGCAGUGGAACCAGCUGAAGGAACAGAUUUCUGAUAUUGAUGAUGCAGUAAGAAAACUGUAAAGACAGCCAUACAGAAAUCUUUAUCAUUUUUGUUGGUUUAAGCAGUCUUUUUACAUUGGCUUUUGUUUUCUAAAAUAUUGUUUUCGAAGCUAUUGUAUAUUUGGAUUGCAAAACAAUUUGUAAGAUGAAUACUUUUUUUAUGUGCAUUAAAAGUGUAUUCUGAGUGAG